GCAGAACCUGAUAUGUAAAUGAGCAGAGCAAAUGAAACUAACUUUUGACGACCUGAUGAUCAUCCAGACUCUGUUUCUAUUGAGAAAUAAAAGGCUGGUUGAAUGAGUUGUCUAUGAAAGCUACUUCAUCUGUAAGAAAACAUACGGCUGCACCAGUGACUGGGUCAGUGCUCUAAAAUGAGUCUCUCUGGGGAGA